AGCGAACGCUGGCGGCAGGCUUAACACAUGCAAGUCGAGCGGGCCCUUCGGGGUCAGCGGCAGACGGGUGAGUAACACGUGGGAACGUACCCUUUGGUUCGGAAUAACGCUGGGAAACUAGCGCUAAUACCGGAUACGCCCUUUUGGGGAAAGGCUUGCUGCCGAAGGAUCGGCCCGCGUCUGAUUAGCUAGUUGGCGGGGUAAUGGCCUACCAAGGCGACGAUCAGUAGCUGGUCUGAGAGGAUGAUCAGCCACACUGGGACUGAGACACGGCCCAGACUCCUACGGGAGGCAGCAGUGGGGAAUAUUGGACAAUGGGCGCAAGCCUGAUCCAGCCAUGCCGCGUGAGUGAUGAAGGCCUUAGGGUUGUAAAGCUCUUUUGUCCGGGACGAUAAUGACGGUACCGGAAGAAUAAGCCCCGGCUAACUUCGUG
rnacentral:rRNA from 1 species